UUUGACUGCCGAUGUGGAAAUUUGUUUUGUGGACUUCACCGUUACUCUGACAAGCACAACUGUCCGUAUGAUUACAAAGCAGAAGCUGCAGCAAAAAUCAGAAAAGAGAAUCCAGUUGUUGUGGCUGAAAAAAUUCAGAGAAUAUAAAUUACUUCUUGUGAAGAGACUGAAACUUUGUUUUUAUUUUAAUAUAUCGUAGGAAAACAUUAAAGAGCAGAUGCAUGGCCAUUUUUCUUU
rnacentral:lncRNA from 1 species